UACGGGGGGGGCAAGCGUUGUUCGGAAUUACUGGGCGUAAAGGGCUCGUAGGCGGCCAACUAAGUCAGACGUGAAAUCCCCUCGGCUUAACCGGGGAACUGCGUCUGAUACUGGAUGGCUUGAAUCCGGGAGAGGGAUGCGGAAUUCCAGGUGUAGCGGUGAAAUGCGUAGAUAUCUGGAGGAACACCGGUGGCGAAGGCGGCAUUCUGGACCGAAACUGACGCUGAGGCGCGAAAGCCAGGGGAGCAACGGG
rnacentral:rRNA from 1 species